ACACACAAACACACACAAACAAACACACACACACACACACACACACACACACACACACACACACACACACACACACACACAGUGUUCAGGGUGUGUGCUGCUGCAGAAGAGCUACAUCUGCAAAGUGUGGCCGAGGGAAAAGAGCUGAGAGACAGAGAAAGAUGGAGGAGUUGGUGUAUGGUGUUUAUAUGCAUGUGGGUGAGUGUUUUUGGGGGGGUGAGGAGAGGAGGGAGGGGGAUGGAUCAGAAGCCAACAGAAGCCUCCCCUCCCUCUCCCUUUCUCUUCCCUGCAAUGCCCACCUCCUCCUCCCCCUCCCCUUGAGUAAAUCUAUAGGGAGGGAAGGCAGAGACAGGUGCAUUUCUCCACAAAUUGAGUUAGCCAAGACAUGCCACAUCCAAUUGGGCUAAAUUGAUGUGAGAGUUUGUGAUGUCUGCCGUGGGUAUUACAGCAAAGGUCAGUGUGCCGAGACAAUGACAUCAAUCUGGUCCACGUGGCCGAGCGCUCGGGCCCCCGUCAGCCCCCUGAUUCAGAUGCAAACCUGCAAACACAGCCAGGGGAAGGAGAGGGCGGACAACUGCAAACUGCCCUGCUGCUGCUGCUGGAAGUCAUGAUGAACGGAGAAGGAUGGCGUUGAUAACGCCUUCACCAUCCAUGAGUCGACUUCAGCAGGAAUACCGACUCUAUCUCUUCCAGCUCUGCGCUGCAGUGUCAUCGCUCAGACAUCAGAGAGCGGCCUUCUGGGAACAGGAAGUAAAUCAGAGCCUGCAGUGGACAGACC